rnacentral:lncRNA from 1 species
AACUAAGGUGAGGACUUGUCUGUGAACUUUUCUCAAGAUUCCUAACAUCGUAUAGUAUUAGGGUCUAGCUGGUACGGGCUUGAUUGAUUGAUUGAUUGAUGAUUGAACUCAGUGAUGAGAUUAAUGUGUGAUAAUGGUAAAUGAUGAAAGAACCUAGUUGAACUAGGAAAAAGAAAGAAAGAAAGAAAGAAAGAAAAGAAAGAAAGAAAGAAAUGAGAAUGAGUCUAGAAAGACUAAGAAAAAGAACUAAGAAAUGAAUGAAAUACGAUCCACCGAGGAACUGGUGGGAAGUAUGGGAAACGCGGCGGCCGUAGCGUUCAAAAACGGCGGAGAUGCGGGGCCAUAGCAUCCGAUAAAAAUGGCAGGGUAAGAAUAGAGGCGCCGGUAAGAUUGAGUCACGCCGAGUCUUGGCGGGAAAGGGUCGUAAUACACUGCAAAGACGGACCGAACCCGAGGAACUGGGCGGCGGUCCUACCAGGGCAGGCGACUCCACAGGAAGCAGCAAGAAAAGGGGAGGAAUGGUCCGCUUGAGCUGUGUAGGUCCUAGGUGUCUAGGAUGAUGAAAUAUGAACUUGCUGGUUUUUAUUAGUUUAUUCCUUAAUGCUUGCUGUGUUAUGUGUUUUGAUAUGAGUUAACGGGUUCCUGGAACCCGUUGUCACUGAGUAUUUCCCCAAAUGCUCACCCCUCCUUCUGCAGGUACGAUCGGGGAGACGCAGGAGUGAAGUCGGAGUGGUGCCGGUUCUUGGGUCGGGAUAAGCUUUUAUUUAGUACUUUAAAACUGUGUUUCGUUCCAAAGACUAGUAUGCGAAUCUGUUUUCUAAAGAUUUUCCUAAGGUUUUAAGAAAUAAAAGACUACAAGUUGGUUCCUCAUUUUCCUUAAGUUAUGCAUUUCAAAAAGGGGACAGUAAGGGUUACACAAGGAAUGUCCAAAGGUAGACAUGUGUACCCUUAACCCGUCCUGGGAACCCCAGAAUGAUCUGGGGAAGGGACGGGUCUUUCAAUUGGUAUCAGAGCCAGGUUAAAACCCGUCCGGUUCCGUCCGGAUGGGUACUGGCAGUCAAACCUUGUAUUUUAGUAGGACGUAUUUUAAUCAAUUCUUUUGGGGAUGGGUCUUUUCCUCUUAAGGCAUCACUUCGGCUGAAUCCUGCACUACCCGAUAAGGUAUAAGAAUUUUAUGCUACUUAACUGCCAGUACUUAACAAUUUCGUUAUGACAGGAUGCCUCCCAGGAACGCCAGACUAGCUCAGCCCACAACCACAGCUCAGAGAGCAGCCAGGCGGGCUGCCAGAGCCGCGUCGCAGGCUACCAGCGACAACGGAAGUCAUGCCGGGGAUGGUGUGGAAGAGAACCAGGUGAAUGGACCUGCCCAAGGAGGUCAAGUGAACGGACCAGCCCAAGGGCAAGGCCAGGCCGCCAUGGACGCUGCGGCAGUGGAAGAACUGCGGAGGUACCGGGAAGCUUACGGGGGUAGACUGCCCGGGGAAGGUGCCGCGGGCGGAAGACUCGCACCACCCCUAGCGGUGCCCGCCGCUGACCACGUGCCCUCCUACUGGGACAUGAUGAAGCAGCUAAAAAGCAUGCAGAUGGAAAUGUUCAGCGGGGGAGCCGACCCGAUCGCCGCAGAAAACUGGAGGAGGAAGCUGGAAAAGAACUUCCUCUCGGCCAGGUGCCCACCAGAGUACCGUAGAGACUUGGCUACCCACCACCUAAAGGACGACGCCUUGGUCUGGUGGGAUUGUGUGGUGGACGGUGCAAGGGAUCAACCGGAACUGACCUGGGAGGAUUUCUUAGAAGAAUUUAAUAACAAAUACUUCCCCCGUGAGGCAAUGGAUAAGAUGGAAGGUAGAUUCCAAGACAUCAGCCAGGGGUCUCGGGAUGUACGGAAGUACGGGGAAGAGUUCAACAGGCUCCGAAGGUUUGCAGGACGCCAUAUGACUGAAAAGGAACUGAUUCGCCGCUUUAUGAAAGGUUUGAGGAUCGAACUCAAGAACAACUGUAAUGUUCGGGAGUUCCGCUCCCUGAACGAACUACUGGAGAAGGCAGCCGAGCAAGAGGCAGGGAUAGAGGAGGAGCGCAAGCAGAAUCAGGCCACCCGAGCCGCGAAGCGUCCUCGCGAAACUACCACCCCUGUGGACAACGGAACAGUCCGCACGCUUUGCACAGAGUGCGGGAAGAUGCACUACGGAGAGUGUAAGGGAACAGGAUGUUUCAAAUGCGGACAACCGGGGCAUAUCAAACGGAACUGUCCGCAGCUCAAUGACGGGUCGGUUACCAAGACCCCCAAUAUCACAUGUCAGCUGUGUGGACGUUACGGGCAUGCGGCCCGGGACUGUCGCGACCGGACUGAAGCAGGGACCGGAGCUGCGCUUCCGGCGCCACCGCCAAAGAAGCCAGCAACUCAACCGAGAGUGUUCGUCGCAGGGAACAUCCAGGGAGCUGAGACCAUAGCAGAUAAAUAGUCUUUCUCUAGCUCUUUAUAUCGAAUAAAAAAAAAAGGAAGUUUUAGGAAAAAGGUAAAAUAGACACUUAGUUAUAGUCUCCGUGUAGGGAGGGUGAAGGUCGGAGGAGUUGUAGCUUACACACUCUUCGACACGGGAGCCACCCACAGUUUCGUGAGCCAGGCCCUAACCAAGAAGUGGAACUUUCAGGGGAAGUACGAGGCACGAACCACCCGGGUCGAGACCGCGGGUCCAGACGAGAUAUCCGCCAUGGGAGUAUACAUGGGAGUGACCGUAGAACUCGCCGGAGUGGUUAUGCCAGUAGACUUGCUGGAACUAGAAAUGGGGCGGUACGAGGUGAUACUCGGAAUGGACUGGUUAUCACGAUACGGAACGGUUAUCCACUGUAACGGAGCAAACAUACGGAUUCCCAGAGAGGGAGGACGAGUAGUGUUCGAAGGAUCGAAAACUAAGACCGGGGUCACAAUCAUAUCAAUGGCACAAGCUGGAGACCUAAUUAAAAAGGGACACGAUGCUUACUUAGCCACGAUAGAAAUGUUGGAAGCACCAAAAUGACCGAGUUUGGAGGAUGUGGCUGUAACGAAUGAAUUCGCGGAUGUAUUCGAACCACUACAGGGACCACCACCAAAUCGGGACAGUGCGUUCUCCAUUGAGUUGGAACCGGGAACUGCACCCGUCUCCAAGGCCCCAUACCGCCUGGCGCCAGCAGAGAUGACCGAGUUACGGGAACAGUUGGAAGACUUGAUAAGUAAGGGUUUUAUACGACCCAGUAGCUCGCCUUGGGGAGCUCCAGUGUUAUUCGUAAGGAAGAAGGAUGGGAGUUUGAGACUCUGCAUUGACUAUAGAGGAUUAAAUAAGGUGACUAUCAAGAACAAAUACCCACUACCUCGAAUCGACGAAUUGUUGGAUCAGCUAGAAGGAGCAACAUGGUUUUCCAAAAUCGACCUCGCGUCAGGAUAUCACCAAAUCCCUAUAGACGAAAAGGACGUACAGAAGACUGCUUUCCGCACACGUUACGGACAUUACGAGUUCGUUGUGAUGCCGUUCGGACUAACCAACGCACCAGCAGCCUUCAUGGGCAUGAUGAACAAUGUGUUUCGAGAUUACUUAGACCGUUGUGUGAUAGUGUUCAUCGACGAUAUACUCAUCUACUCGCGGAGUAAGGAAGAACAUGACUGGCACCUCCGGUUGGUGUUGGAAAAACUACGGAAACAUAAGUUGUUCGCGAAGUUAAGUAAGUGUAGCUUCUGGCAGAGGAAGAUAGGAUUCCUCGGACAUGUCAUCACAGAAGCUGGAGUAGCAGUAGAUCAGGAAAAGAUUAAAGCCAUAACCCAAUGGCCUACCCCGAGGAAUGCCACGGAAGUAAGGAGCUUCCUAGGGUUGGCAGGGUAUUACCGGAAAUUCGUACGGGAUUUCGCCACUACAGCAAAGCCUCUCACCCGACUAACCGGGAAGGAUACCAAGUUCGAUUGGGCAGAAACCUGCACAAAGGGGUUCGAACAACUCAAAUGCCAACUGACCCAGACGCCUGUUCUUGUCUUGCCACGAACCGGUGUACCUUUCGUGGUAUACACGGACGCCUCGGGGGUGGGGGUAGGGUGCGUACUUAUGCAAGAAGAACGAGUAAUCGCUUAUGCGUCACGACAACUGAAGAAGCACGAAGUCAACUACCCCACCCAUGACCUGGAACUCGCUGCCGUUGUCUUCGCCCUAAAGAUCUGGCGGGCUUAUCUGUACGGAGAAAAGGUGCAGAUUUUCACGGAUCACAAAAGUCUAAAGUACGUCUUCACACAGGCUGACCUGAACCUUAGACAAAGAAGGUGGAUGGAAAUGUUGGCUGAUUUCGAUCUACAGAUUGAUUACCACCCCGGGAAAGGAAACCCGGUAGCAGAUGCACUGAGCAGGAGAAGGACCGAUGUCUCAGGAGCUAGGGAGGUACAAGAACUCUCGGGGAUGCUGGCGACUCUGAGCUUGAGGGCCACGACGGUUCAGGAAGAUGGAAUGGGACUCGAGGCAUUGGAUCAGGCCGAUUUGCUAUGGAGAAUCAGAGAGGAACAGCGGAAUGACAUCAACUUACAGGAGAAGAUUAGUAAGCAAGUCGUAGGUUAUCGUACCGCAGAGAAUGGAACCAUCCUAUUCAGGAAUCGGGUCAGUGUUCCUAACAAUUGGGACCUUAGGAGGGAAAUUUUGAGACAAGCACAUCAGACACGGUUCUCCAUUCAUCCCGGGAGUACCAAGAUGUAUCGGGACCUUAUGCGGUACUAUCACUAGGAAGGAGUGAAAAAUGAUGUGGCCACCUGGGUCUCCCAGUGUCCCACUUGUCAAGUGGUAAAGGCAGAGAAGAGGGUACCAAGUGGUUUACUGCAAGGCUUACCCCUACCCCAAUGGAAAUGGGACAUGGUCACUAUGGACUUUGUGACAGGGCUGCCCCGGGUCACAGGUAAUAAGGAUGCAAUAUGGGUGAUAGUAGAUCGACUCACGAAGACGGCACACUUUAUCGCGAUUAAAAAGACGGACGGGGUGGAAAAACUAGCCCGCAAGUACCUAGACAUCGUGGUACGGCUGCACGGGGUGCCAGUAAGCAUCGUAUCAGAUAGGGACCCCAAGUUCACUUCGACCUUCUGGCAAGCAUUCCAGAAAGAAUUGGGCACCAAAGUACAUCUUAGCACGGCCUACCACCCCCAGACCGAUGGUCAGUCGGAACGCACAAUACAGACUCUGGAGGACAUGCUACGAUCGUGUGUCUUGGACUGGGGAGGGAAGUGGGGAGAGUACCUCCCUCUGGUGGAAUUUGCGUACAACAACAGCUACCAUUCUAGUAUCGGAAUGUCCCCAUUCGAGGCUCUGUACGGGAGGCCUUGUCGAACCCCCAUGUGUUGGACCGAAGUGGGGGAGCGAUGUGGUGUAGAACCAGACCUAAUAAGCGAGACAGUAGAACAAGUAAACGUGCUGAAGGAUCGCCUCAAGGAGGCUCACGACUGCCAGAAAAGCUACGCGGACCAGCGCCGAAAACAUCUAGAAUUCACGGUCGGGGACGAGGUAUACCUAAAGAUGCGUACGUUCCGUGGAAACGAUCCAAACCGGAAACUAAAGAAACUCAAGCCUAGAUACAUGGGUCCAUUCGUCAUCACCGAAUGGAUUGGGGCAGUAGCGUAUCGGUUGGUAUUGCCACCCGAAAUGGCAGAUUUUCAUGAUGUAUUCCACGUGUCGGUUUUACGGAAGAUGGUACGGGAGCCUGAAUUGGUACUGUCCCAGCUGCCUUGGGACGCGCAACCCAACCUAACACUGAAUAGUACCCCCAUCAGGAUAGUGGACCAGAAAGAGAUAGAGGUCCGCGGGAAAAAGGUGUGGAUGGUACUAGUGCGAUGGGAAAGAGAUGGAAUACCCGAAGAGGUAUGGGAGCGCGAGUCCCAAUUUCUGAAGGCCUACCCGGGGAUGUCUCAGGAGAGAGGCAACCAGGUUGAUACUCAGCAGAAUUCGGGGACGAAUUCAUUUCUAGUGGGGGAGAAUUGUAACACCCCGGCCCAGGCCCAAGUAGAAAAGGCCCAACAGAGGGAAACCCUAAGUAACCCUAAUCCAGAAACCUAUAUAAAGAGGAUUCUCCCUACAGCUGAGCCAUCAGACACUCACCAAGCGAAGCCCUGCGAGAUCCGAGACCGCCAGCCCACCGAGGAAGCGCCGCCGCCGAUCACCGCCCGCGUAGCCCAAGUCGCCGAUCGCGGGUACCAAGCCGCCGGUUUCUCGAUUCUGUGGCGUGUAACCGUCUUUGUUUGGAUUACUAAGGUAAACCUCAUAACCCUUGUUCUACCUAGUCACAGUAGACGACAAAUCUGAGAUCUAAAGCCUCUUCUUCCUCACCCAGAUCUUUGAGUACCCAGAUCCGGAACCCAACCUAUCCUCGCCGCUGUCUUGGAACCAGAUCGACAAUCAACUAAGGUGAGGACUUGUCUGUGAACUUUUCUCAAGAUUCCUAACAUCGUAUAGUAUUAGGGUCUAGCUGGUACGGGCUUGAUUGAUUGAUUGAUUGAUGAUUGAACUCAGUGAUGAGAUUAAUGUGUGAUAAUGGUAAAUGAUGAAAGAACCUAGUUGAACUAGGAAAAAAAAAAAGAAAGAAAGAAAGAAAAGAAAGAAAGAAAGAAAUGAGAAUGAGUCUAGAAAGACUAAGAAAAAGAACUAAGAAAUGAAUGAAAUACGACCCACCGAGGAACUGGUGGGAAGUAUGGGAACGCGGCGGCCGUAGCGUUCAAAAACGGCGGAGAUGCGGGGCCAUAGCAUCCGAUAAAAAUGGCAGGGUAAGAAUAGAGGCGCCGGUAAGAUUGAGUCACGCCGAGUCUUGGCGGGAAGGGGUCGUAAUACACUGCAAAGGCGGACCGAACCCGAGGAACUGGGCGGCGGUCCUACCAGGGCAGGCGACUCCACAGGAAGCAGCAAGAAAAGGGGAGGAAUGGUCCGCUUGAGCUGUGUAGGUCCUAGGUGUCUAGGAUGAUGAAAUAUGAACUUGCUGGUUUUUAUUAGUUUAUUCCUUAAUGCUUGCUGUGUUAUGUGUCUUGAUAUGAGUUAACGGGUUCCUGGAACCCGUCCUCACUG